rnacentral:rRNA from 1 species
AUUGAACGCUGGCGGCAGGCUUAACACAUGCAAGUCGAGCGAGCGGCGGACGGGUGAGUAAUGUCUGGGAAACUGCCUGAUGGAGGGGGAUAACUACUGGAAACGGUAGCUAAUACCGCAUACCAUCAGAUGUGCCCAGAUGGGAUUAGCUAGUAGGUGGGGUAAUGGCUCACCUAGGCGACGAUCCCUAGCUGGUCUGAGAGGAUGACCCGCCAAACUGGAACUGAGGCCACGUCCCGGAUCCCACGGGAGGGAGGCGUGGGGAAUAGUGGAAAAAGGGCGCAAGCCUUAUAGAGCCAAGCCGCGUGUGUGAAGAAGGCCUUCGGGUUGUAAAGCACUUUCAGCGAGGAGGCGUUACUCGCAGAAGAAGCACCGGCUAACUCCGUGCCAGCAGCCGCGGUAAUUC